rnacentral:rRNA from 1 species
AACGAACGCUGGCGGCAUGCCUAGCACAUGCAAGUCGAACGAGACCUUCGGGUCUAGUGGCGCACGGGUGCGUAACGCGUGGGAACCUGCCCUUAGGUUCGGAAUAACUCCCCGAAAGGGGUGCUAAUACCGGAUAAUGUCUUCGGACCAAAGAUUUAUCGCCUUUGGAUGGGCCCGCGUUGGAUUAGCUAGUUGGUAGGGUAAAAGCCUACCAAGGCGACGAUCCAUAGCUGGUCUGAGAGGAUGAUCAGCCACACUGGGACUGAGACACGGCCCAGACUCCUACGGGAGGCAGCAGUGGGGAAUAUUGGAAGAGGGGCUAAAGCCUGAACCAGCAAUGCCGCGUGAGUGAUGAAGGCCUUAGGGUUGUAAAGCUCUUUUACCCGGGAUGAUAAUGACAGUACCGGGAGAAUAAGCUCCGGCUAACUCCGUG